GAAGUGUUCUAUGUUACAGGUGAUGUUAGAUGAGAAAGUGUUAUAUGCUACAUGGAGAAGUGGUAUGUCUGUGUUGAACAGACUAAUACUAGCUGAAGGGGGAGGUGGUGUGUUCUGAGCACAAGCGCUUGUGUGUUUAAUAUGUGUUUACUAGUUUUUUUUUUUUGCUAGUAAUCUGUGUUUGUUUACUUCUGGUGCUGAACUGAUACUGUGAUUAUUUUCUUGUGAAACAUAUGAUCUGAUGUAUGUUUUAG
rnacentral:lncRNA from 1 species